rnacentral:lncRNA from 1 species
CAGCUAGUAGCCGAUCUACCACUUGAUACGAGAGAACUGAUGCAAUUCAUAGGAUCCUUUGGGGUACUUUGGAUUCAUGAAUGGUUGUUGUGCAAAUCACAAUCAUUCCCAUGCGGCUAUUAAUAAUGCAAAAUUUUUCAUUGCCACUAAGACUAGGCCCUUGAUAUUUUCUAUUGUAAAUAUCUUGUAAUGUAAUAGUGACCUA